rnacentral:misc_RNA from 1 species
AAAUAAUAAAAAUGAUUGGCCUCAGGGCCUUAUCGAUUAUUAAUCCCAACACCUCUGUGAACCGUUUUCGGCCCUCGGGCUGAUCUUUUUACAAUACAAACAUUGUGUAAUGAGCGUCUUGUUAUCUUAACAAGACA